CGCGUAGGAACCUGCCCAGUAGUGGGGAUAGCCCGGUGAAAACCGGAUUAAUACCGCAUACGCUCUACGGAGGAAAGGGGGCUUCGGCUCUCGCUAUUGGAUGGGCCUGCGUGAGAUUAGCUAGUUGGUGAGGUAAUGGCCUACCAAGUCUACGAUCUAUAGCUGGUUUUAGAGGAUGAUCAGCAACACUGGGACUGAGACACGGCCCAGACUCCUACGGGAGGCAGCAGUGGGGAAUCUUAGACAAUGGGCGCAAGCCUGAUCUAGCCAUGCCGCGUGUGUGAUGAAGGCCUUAGGGUC
rnacentral:rRNA from 1 species